rnacentral:rRNA from 1 species
UGGGGAAUAUUGCGCAAUGGGCGAAAGCCUGACGCAGCGACGCCGCGUGAGGGAUGAAGGUUUUCGGAUCGUAAACCUCUGUCAGAAGGGAAGAAACCGCACUGUGCUAAUCAGUAGUGCCUUGACGGUACCUUCAAAGGAAGCACCGGCUAACUCCGUGCCAGCAGCCGCGGUAAUACGGAGGGUGCAAGCGUUAAUCGGAAUUACUGGGCGUAAAGCGCACGUAGGCUGCUUUGUAAGUCAGGGGUGAAAUCCCACGGCUCAACCGUGGAACUGCCUUUGAUACUGCUUAGCUUGAAUCCGGGAGAGGGUGGCGGAAUUCCAGGUGUAGGAGUGAAAUCCGUAGAUAUCUGGAGGAACAUCAGUGGCGAAGGCGGCCACCUGGACCGGUAUUGACGCUGAGGUGCGAAAGCGUGGGGAGCAAACAGG